rnacentral:misc_RNA from 1 species
CUCUAUCUCAAGACAAAGUUAGACGUCUUUUUAGCACAUAACACAGAAGAGAAGGUGUGUGAUUUCAAGGUGAAAGGGAGUUUUUUCGAACGAUCAUGUGUCAUUUAUAAAGGAGACGAAGACUCUGCCACAAUCGUCGCACAGAUGCAAAAAAAGCACACGGCUCAAAGUAUAUUGUUAGGGAAGGACAAGUUCAUGGUGACAGUGUUUCCCAAAAUGGAUUAUGCGUUCAUAGUUGCGCUUAUUGUGAUUCUUGACGACAUCAAUCAUGAGGCACAGGAAUGAAUCAUGAUUCAGAAAUUCAGAUGAUAUAGGCACACUGGGGCUUUGCUUUAUUAAUGUUUUUAUGCAAAUCACUGGAUAAGUGAUUGCCAUGCAGG